GACUAGCUCCGUUGGUAGAGCAUGAGACUCAUAAUCUCAGGGUAGUGGGUCCGUGUCCCAUGUC
rfam:Lepisosteus oculatus linkage group LG6, whole genome shotgun sequence.